UGGAAAUAGAACAAAGGAGCCCUUGAGAAGCUAACCAGGAGAAGAAAAGGAAUAUCACACCCAUACAAAGAGACCAGCUUAGGUGUGGAUGCAAGGAAAUGCAUAGAGCUUGAGGAGUGGAAGUAGUUUGGUGCAUUAGAACAUAAAACAAAAAGAGGACAAUGACUGCAGAUGGAGAGGGUUUGAAUAUGGAAAGUUAUAGAUAUCAUGAUAAGCUGAGGAGGGUCAUCAAAAAAGAUCUAUUAUACAGGAUGAUAAAGUAA
rnacentral:lncRNA from 12 species